GACAGAGGGUGCGAACGUUGUUCGGAAUUACUGGGCGUAAAGCGCAUGUAGGCGGCAGCGCAAGUCGGGCGUGAAAUCCCACGGCUCAACCGUGGAAGUGCACUCGAAACUGCGCAGCUAGAGUCCUGGAGAGGAAGGUGGAAUGCUUGGUGUAGAGGUGAAAUUCGUAGAUAUCAAGCGGAACACCGGUGGCGAAGGCGGCCUUCUGGACAGUGACUGACGCUGAGAUGCGAAAGCGGUGGGGAGCAAACAGGG
rnacentral:rRNA from 1 species